rnacentral:rRNA from 1 species
GACGAACGCUGGCGGCGUGCUUAACACAUGCAAGUCGAACGGUGAAGCUCCAGCUUGCUGGAGUGGAUCAGUGGCGAACGGGUGAGUAACACGUGAGCAACCUGCCCCUGACUCUGGAAUAAGCGCUGGAAACGGCGUCUAAUACUGGAUACGAGAAGGGUCCGCAUGGGCACUUUCUGGAAAGUUUUUCGGUUGGGGAUGGGCUCGCGGCCUAUCAGCUUGUUGGUGAGGUAAUGGCUCACCAAGGCGACGACGGGUAGCCGGCCUGAGAGGGCGACCGGACACACUGGGACUGAGAAACGGCACAGACUCCAACGGGAGGCAGCAGUGGGGAAGAGUGCACAAUGGGCGGAGGCCUGAUGCAGCGUCGCCGCGUGGGGGAAGACGGCCUUCGGGUUGUAAACCUCUUUCAGCAGGGAAGAAGCGAAAGUGACGGUACCUGCAGAAGAAGCACCGGCUAACUACGUG